AACGAACGCUGGCGGCAGGCCUAACACAUGCAAGUCGAACGCCGUAGCAAUACGGAGUGGCAGACGGGUGAGUAACGCGUGGGAACAUACCCUCCGGUUCGGAAUAACUCAGGGAAACUUGAGCUAAUACCGGAUACGUCCAAGGUUUAAUCGGCCUCGGAGAAAGAUUUAUCGCUGGAGGAUUGGCCCGCGUCUGAUUAGCUUGUUGGUGAGGUAAUGGCUCACCAAGGCGACGAUCAGUAGCUGGUCUGAGAGGAUGAUCAGCCACAUUGGGACUGAGACACGGCCCAAACUCCUACGGGAGGGCAGCAGUGGGGAAUAUUGGGACAAUGGGGCGAAAGCCUGAUCCAGCCAUGCCGCGUGAGUGAUGAAGGCCUUAGGGUUGUAAAGCUCUUUUACCCGGGAAGAUAAUGACGGUACCGGGAGAAUAAGCCCCGGCUAACUUCGUGCCAGCCGCCGCCGUAAG
rnacentral:rRNA from 1 species